UCCGGUUGAUCCUGCCAGAGGUCACUGCUAUCGGGGUUCGAUUAAGCCAUGCGAGUUGAGAGGGUUUAGACCCUCAGCGGACUGCUCAGUAACACGUGGAUAACCUGACCUAAGGUGGAGAAUAACCCCGGGAAACUGGGGAUAAUACUCCGUAGAUUAGAGAUACUGGAAUGUUUUCUAAUCGAAAGCUCCGGCGCCUUAGGAUGGAUCUGCGGUCGAUUAGGUUGUUGUUGGGGUAACGGCCCAACAAGCCUGUAAUCGGUACGGGUUGUGGGAGCAAGAGCCCGGAGAUGGAAUCUGAGACACGAUUCCAGGCCCUACGGGGCGCAGCAGGCGCGAAAACUUUACAAUGCAGGAAACUGUGAUAAGGGAACCCCGAGUGCCCGUAUACGCGGGCUGUCCAGGUGUUUAAAACGCAUCUGAAGAAAGGGCCGGGCAAGACCGGUGCCAGCCGCCGCGGUAAUACCGGCGGCUCGAGUGGUGGCCACUAUUAUUGGGCUUAAAGCGUCCGUAGCUGGACCCUUAAGUCUCUUGGGAAAUCCGCCGGCUUAACCGGCGGGCAUCCAGGAGAUACUGUGGGUCUAGGGACCGGGAGAGGUGAGAGGUACUACAGGGGUAGGAGUGAAAUCUUGUAAUCCCUGUGGGACCACCAGUGGCGAAGGCGUCUUACCAGAACGGGUCCGACGGUGAGGGACGAAAGCUGGGGGCACGAACCGGAUUAGAUACCCGGGUAGUCCCAGCCGUAAACGAUGUUCGCUAGGUGUCAGGGGCGGUGCGACCGCUUCUGGUGCCGUAGGGAAGCCGUGAAGCGAACCACCUGGGAAGUACGGCCGCAAGGCUGAAACUUAAAGGAAUUGGCGGGGGAGCACUACAACGGGUGGAGCCUGCGGUUUAAUUGGAUUCAACGCCGG
rnacentral:rRNA from 1 species